UUCUCAGUAUUCUGGAGCUCUUCUCUUUUACAUAGUAAGGAUUGGGAAGGGAGUACUUGUAUCUUCUGUGGUACUGGGCAGCAACUCCUUUUUGUGACCAAGAAAGAGAAGAAAAACACACCGAGUUACGCUUCCUGGCACCUUUUCCAGCUCCUCUGGAGAACUUGGCCCUUGCUAGUCAUCAAGAAGACCUUGAGCAAGAGAAGAAUCUCCUCCUGCCAAGCUUUCUUCCCCAGCAGAGGUCAACUUGUAGUAACGCGGUGUGGAGAUGAGUCAGUGCAAAAUGGACUUGGUAAACACUUUUACCCUCCUUCUCCAGAGACAGCUGCACUUAUUGCUUCAUCCAAGAACCACUGAGGGGGGGAGGGAUUGAACACUCCUCACUGGAAUCCUGGGCAGCAGCUCCUGUGAAGAACAGGCACCUGAGGAGCAUGAGAGAAAAGCUGAGACUGUAUCUGGAACGAGCUCUCUGCUGCUCUGGGAGAAUAACAACCAGCUCUUGGAGUAAGGGACAAUGCUCUGAGGAUUGUUCAGCUGGACCUAAAAGUUUUUGGGCUGUGAAAUGUAGAAUUAGAGAAAAUGUGGGAUUAGAGAAGCAUGGAAGAUAACUACUAAGAUAACUACUAAGAGUUCCCUGCAAAUGAAGACUCUGGCUUUACAUACUUGGCCUCUGGGAAAAAAUACAGGCAGAAUUGGCUUGUAAAGCAGAAAACAUGUUGGUUCUUCAUCCAGUUUUGAAAGAAAAAAAACCCAGACAACAAAAGCAUUCAUCUGGGUUUUCACACCAGCAGAUGACUGUCUAAAACAUGUAUUCUCAAUCACUGUCUAUGUGUAUAUUUAGUACAAAACCAUGUUUAUGCAAACAAAGAUAAGCCAAGAGACUUGUGUUAUCAUGUGAUGUUAGCAAACUUACUCUCACAGGAAGACAAAUAGUUUAUUAAGCAUCCUGACCCUGGAAUUUGAGCACCUCUACUUUUCCAUCCAUAAAUCCUCCUAAAUCGAUGGUUUCUGGGUGUUGAUGGCUCGCCUUAGGCCCUCUCUACAUACCAUCCUUAGGAAAGGAAGCUUGGGAUAUCUGUUUCAGGUUCCAGCUGCUGUGCUGGGGGAUGUGAGAAGCGUGCUCAGGCUCAUUAAAUCUGCAGGACUUGGAAGCUGUGCCCGUGGUGACACCACAGACAACAUUCCAGUGAGACCCAAGCGCUGGAACUCUUUGGCAUCGAGCACAGCCCAUGUGAGAGCUCAGGAGCAGUUCCAGAGCUGACUCCAACAUGUCUCCUUGUUUUUCAGCUGCUGACAUAGAGGUGGUUUUUUAAAAAAAGUCCAAAAUGAAACAGAUGUCCUUGGGGAAGCUGGAGAUGGAAAUAUUUCUCGUGUGAGCCAUCGCACACACACGGACUGGAGGCUGCUUUGGGAGGUUUCUCCAGAGACCAGAGACCUUUCCCGCAGGUCGUGGGGAGCAGAGCUUUUUCCUGCCUGGAAUUUGGUGGGUAAAACACGACACAGUGCUUGAGGUGGAAUUCUUAAGCACCCAGAGGAUAAAAUCCUACAGGAAUAUACUUCCCCAGGCUAAGAGAGGACAGUACUUUUUAAAAACAUGGAUAAGCCAGCUAUGCUGCUGUGCCAUUUCAGUUGUUUCCAACUACAGGCAGAGAUCCAGAGACAUCCUGGAUCCGAAAGAUCCACUCUGGAUUCCAAAGGAAGGAAUCUUUCCCUUUAAGCCUGCUCAUUUCUUCAGUUUAACACAACCAACCUGAAAUACUCUGUUUCUUUUAAACUCUGGUUGCUUUUGAAUUGCUUUCAUCUAGAGUGUGAAAUUCCAAGUCACUGUGAAAAAGCUGCCUUAGGAAUAUUCUUGGCGAUGCUGCAAGCAGAAAGUACAGGAAACCUCCCAAGAGAGGUUGUUCCAGCAACACUGCCAUCCACGUUUCACAGCUGCAGGGACAUCCAGAGCAAAUCCAAACACCAGCUUUUCCCUUCAACAGAGCCUUUGCUGAGGUACAACUGCCCGGGAUCAAUCCCUGGAAGUGUGCAAGGCCUGGCUGGACUGGGCUUGGAGCAACCUGGGACAAUGGAUUAUUCCUCCAGAGGAAUAAGGGAGGGUGUGCUGGCAUAAUUCCUCUUCAGUUUGGUUUUAAUAUCAGUAUUCCUUCAAGUUUGCAGUACAACUAACAUUUUUUAAUUCCGUCCUUUCAGAAUUAUUUUGCUUUUAGGCAGUAGAGGUGUUAUUUAUUUAUUGGUAUUACUGAAUUUUCUCAUUGAUAGAUAUUUUUUCCUGAUCCUGGCAACUGUAAUAACCACGUAACCCUGACCUUAAUAUUUAACCCACUGAGGCUGAUUUAGGAAAAACUAUCAGAGAGGUCUUGUACAGGUUAAAAAAAUACCUGUAUAGCAGUGUGACUGUGGUUGUGUGUGCACAGUGAGCUGGGUCAGCAAAUAAUUUAUCAGUAAUUCUUAUGCAGAAGUCUGACUUACUAUUUUCUAACACAUAAUAUUGGAAUUAUUUGGAUUUCACGAGGCAAAUUUAAGGAGUGAGUAAAGCUUCUGUGAAAAUGCAAAGAUUUGGCUCAAUAAAUUAGAAUGCUUUACUGCUAGCCAGAAAACUGCAGUAAAAAAAGUGCACCAGGUUGGUGGAUUUAUUGUAAGUGAAGUGUAAUCUCUAAGUAAGAAUGAGUGUUGAUGGGGAGUGAUGAGAUGCAAAGUCUGACUGGCACAGGGGUCAGGAAUUAAAAGUUGGCCUCAGCAUUAAGAAUAAAUCACAUAUAGAAAUAUAAUUUCGGCACAGUUCUGUUCCAGCUUUUGAGGAUACACCAACUCCCAAAAGGCAUCCUGGGGCCUGUUGUUAUUUUGGGAUGCCUCAGCCCCAGCUGGAUUCAGACAGAAGUUAACCAACAGCAUUUAAUUACAGCCACAGCAGAGGCUUCUGUCAAACAGUGCAGUCCAUACAGAAAAUGGGAAGUAAUUGUGUAAGGACUGAAGACCUUAAAUCAUAUAAGUGGAAGGAAUAAAGAGAAUUCAGGUUCAAAGUGGAAGCAGCACCUUAGUGCAGCAAAAGCCCCCCAGCCUGGCAGGAUUUGGCAUUAUGGAGUGCAAUAGCCAAGGGAAGGAGUUGGAAGAGGCUAAAGUUGCCCAGGAUUUGCACCCACAGUGUGUGAUCUCGAUGCUUCAGGGGCAAGGCAAUGUGAAGGGAGAAUGAAUGUACGUGAGGGAGCAAAGACAAGGUGUGGGAUCAAGCCAUAAGGAAUUGAUCUACUCUGUAAUAAACUGGUUGUUCGGGGCUGCCUUUCAUCCCUGUCAGGGAGAUGCCAUGAGCACCACCCACGGAAUACACGGGUUUUAAAGAGCAAAAGCUGAGGAGGCUGAGGUCAAGCAAGGACAAGUAAACUCCGACUGGAAUUGCUCUUAGUGAGGGGCCUCGUUUGUUUUUGGACUCCUGUGUGAAGUCAUUAACAAAGAAGGCACUUAGAUUCCAGGAGCGGGAAGUUUUGGAACAGAAGCAGACAGAAGAUAUUGCCGUGGUUGGGCUAAAAGUGAGACAGAACUUCUUCCUUACUCCUGAGGGAUGUACAUGGGGAACAGGCAAAAGGUGGGUGCAUCCAAAUCACAAGAAGGUUUUGCUAUAAAAUGAGAACAUACAGCAUAAAAUCUCCAGCACUAACUAAAUAUAAGAGUAAACCAAACAUUUUCCUCGUUCUCCCAACGAAACAACUCAGCAAAUGCAUCGGCAAAGGCAGGUGAAUAAUCGAGUCACUCUUGGUUCUCAGCUCUCCAGGGAAUUUCAGGUACUCUUGGAAUCUUAGGUACUCUUGGAAUCUUGUGGCUCAUGGCAUGGCAAUAACGUGAAGUUCUUAGAUUGGGCUUUUUUAGGGUUUUCUUCUUCUUUUUGUCUACAUACAAAUUUUUUUUGUGAUAGCAAGAUGCAUACAUCAAGAUGUCAUCCAGUGUGUAAUCAACUGUAUGCUGGUUAUGGUUUUAUUAUCAUAAUCAAUUACUUUGCCUCCCUGUAAAAUAUAUAAUUAGGUUCAAGGUCAAGAAAAUUUAUAAAUGUCCAAUAUUUAACAAUUACUUAAUAUGUAUGCAGUUAAAAUUGAGUCUCAACAGAGAUCUUGGUUAAAGACUGAAAACUGUGAAGUGGGUUAGAAGGAUUUCACAAUGGGUGAGAAUCACCAGCCAUGCCAUAAUCUAAUAUAGCCAGACUAAACUGUUGUGUCCUUCUAGAUAGUUGUAAUAGAAGUAAUAAUUGCCUCUUACACGAUGGAAUGUUUAAUAUUAAUUCAUGUUUCUAGAUUUUACAUCAGGUUCUGGGCUAUGAAGUGUGUCCCAUAGGCAUUUUUCCAGCUGUUUAUCUCCACUUUGCUACAAUUGUAGCAACAGUAACUCCUUGCUAAGAAAAAUACAAACACAUUUGUUACAAUGUAGCUUAAUUUGUUGGUUUUUUUGUUUUUUUGUUUUUUUUUUUUUGUUAUUAAAACCUAGAGUAACUGACUAAUUGUGUUGUUACAUCGCUACAUCUAAAAAAAGCCCCCAGAUGAACUUUAUAAAGUACUAACUAGUUUGUCAAUUUUGGAUCAGAUUUCAAAGUAUGAAAUUUUGACCAAAAUAGGGAAAAAAAUUGCAAUUAACUAUAGAACUGGUCAGAUUUUAAAUGCUGAUUAAAACCAAAUAUGUUUAAAAUCUAUGUCCAGCUCUCCCCUCUCCUCACUUUUCCCCUGCUAGCUCAAAUGGUAGUCUGGGAAGAAGUGGAGGUAAAAUUUCUCCUCACCAUCUGUUAUCUGACAUUUGAAAAAAAGUCCUUGUUUGACCAGUAAUGAGAGAAUUAGCAACAUUUGGGCCAUAAAUCAUUGCCCUCAAAUUUACAAAGCUGAUAUGUUU